UAGACAGGAGCUUGAAUAAGCAGUUGAUUGUUA
rnacentral:tRNA from 1 species